UGUGUAAGAAGAGAGCUCUCUUCAGUCCACUCUCAGAUGGCUGUAGGGUUUUAUUAGCUGCCGAAUCAUCCAUUCAUCUACCAAGAAAGUUGCAGGAGUGUUUCUCUUGGUAGCGGACUGGAUGACGCGGGAGCUAAAAUUUAGCUCUGCGCCGUUUGUGGUUGGACUGAAGGGUGCUCCCUUGCUCAAGCAC
rfam:Oryza nivara chromosome 1, whole genome shotgun sequence.